rnacentral:lncRNA from 1 species
GAGCUAUCUGCAGCAGGGUCAAGAAGACUGGAGUUUAUACCGCAUCAGUCAGUCGUUGGAUGUAGGCUGUCACAGGAAUGGAGAUGUGACCUUGGGCAAGGGAGCUUUCUGUAGCUGAGGCAAACCUCAAGGGGGGUUAAAGGCUGGAGGGCUAUCUGCUGGCACCCCUCUGGGCAGAUAGAGAAAUAAGUCUUUUAGAUCUCAAAGGGGAUCUGGGUGGCGCAUCAUGGAGUCCACCACAUGACACAUAACUGAACCAUUUCCAAUCUAGCUUCUGGCCCCACGGUCGCUAAUGACUUCCAUGUUCCUUAAGCUAAAGGAAAUUUUUCUUUGUUUUGCUUAAGUAGCUUUUUGUAGAUGUGUCCUCAUACAACACCAGUAGCAGUAGAGGAAAAAUACAGGCUUCUUAAACAGUCUUGCAUUUGAAUGAGAUUGAAGAACUAUGGAGGUCCUUAUUUUGUAAAAGUCAUCACCAUUCAUCAGAUAUGAUAGAAUUACCAACAAGUAUCAUAAAACUCUGCUUUACCCUCCUUGUCUUAACCAAAAGAUUGUGUAUUCUUUCUCACAAUGGAAAAAAAAAGAAGAAGUAAGGUAUCCACUAAGAUAUGAUGAGUUUAUUGAUUUCAUCAAAAAUUCAGGUUACUUCCACUAAGUCUCCACGCCACUGUCC